UACGGAGGGUGCAAGCGUUAUCCGGAUUCACUGGGUUUAAAGGGUGCGUAGGUGGGAAUGUAAGUCAGUGGUGAAAUCUCCGAGCUUAACUCGGAAACUGCCAUUGAUACUAUAGGUCUUGAAUUAUCUGGAGGUGAGCGGAAUAUGUCAUGUAGCGGUGAAAUGCUUAGAUAUGACAUAGAACACCAAUUGCGAAGGCAGCUCACUAACGGAUAUAUUGAC
rnacentral:rRNA from 1 species